rnacentral:lncRNA from 1 species
GGAAGUCAUAAUACAAUGUCAUGACAUCGUGUGUGACAUUGCUUCUAUCUGCUAUACGUUUUACAUGUGUAGAUGUAGGUGUCUUUCCAAUAUCCUCCACAUUGUUCUUGGCCUUUUUGCUUUGAGAUAAAUUAAUAGUUCCAUUCUGCUUAUGACUGGUCAUAUGUCCACUUAUUUGAUCUGUCUUCUCAGUUGUUUGGGUUAUCAUAACCUUUUC